rnacentral:sRNA from 17 species
GUAAGCAGUUGAUUUUUGUGAUAACCGUCAAAUCGACCACUUAGGGUCACCACUUAACGCUGUCCACAAACGGCCUGGCGACCACUUAAGGCUGU